rnacentral:tRNA from 1 species
GGGCGUGUAGCUCAGUUGGAUAGAGCGCCGGUCUACGAAACCGGAGGUCGCAGGUUCGAGUCCUGCCACGCCCA